UAAUUUAAUGAUUCAGGAAGUUAUUUGCCAAUUAUUAUCUAUUUAUCAGCAGACAUGGGAAUAAAGCAUAUCAAUUAACUUUUUAUUCUUUUUCCUGGAAAUGUAUUAAAUUAAUUACCAGUUAUUGAGAAAUAGCAGAAUCUAAUUAUUAAAUAAUGUUUAUAAUAAAGUAGUUUUCGAUAAAUUAUGAUGUAAAUAUAGGGGGUAAUUUGUCAGUAAUUCCAAAGAAAUUU